ACACGUGGGAACGUACCUUGGAGUGCGGAAUAAUUCUUGGAAACGAGGACUAAUACCGCAUACGCCCUUCGGGGGAAAGAUUGAUCGCUCCAAGAUCGGCCCGCGUCCGAUUAGCUAGUUGGUGAGGUAACGGCCCACCAAGGCGACGAUCGGUAGCUGGUCUGAGAGGAUGAUCAGCCACACUGGGACUGAGACACGGCCCAGACUCCUACGGGAGGCAGCAGUGGGGAAUAUUGCGCAAUGGGGGAAACCCUGACGCAGCCAUGCCGCGUGGGUGAAGAAGGCCUUCGGGUUGUAAAGCUCUUUCGGGUGUGAAGAAGAUGACGGUAACACCAGAAGAAGCCCCGGCUAACUUCGUGCCAGCAGCCGCGGUAAUACGAAGGGGGCAAGCGUUGUUCGGAAUCACUGGGCGUAAAGAGCGCGUAGGCGGUCAGAUCAGUCAGAGGUGAAAGCCCAGGGCUCAACUUGGAACUGCCUUUGAUACUGUCUGACUAGAAUCCGUGAGAGGGUGGUGGAAUUCCCAGUGUAGAGGUGAAAUUCGUAGAUAUUGGGGAGGAACACCAGUGGGCGAAGGCGGCCACCUGGCGCGG
rnacentral:rRNA from 1 species